GAUUCUGGCUCAGGAUGAACGCUAGCGACAGGCUUAACACAUGCAAGUCGAGGGGCAGCAUAAAAGUAGCAAUACUUUGGUGGCGACCGGCGCACGGGUGAGUAACGCGUAUGCAACCUACCUAUCAGAGGGGAAUAACCCGGCGAAAGUCGGACUAAUACCGCAUAAAACAGGGACACCGCAUGGUGAUAUUUGUUAAAGAAAUUCGCUGAUAGAUGGGCAUGCGUUCCAUUAGGUAGUUGGUGAGGUAACGGCUCACCAAGCCGACGAUGGAUAGGGGAACUGAGAGGUUGGUCCCCCACACUGGUACUGAGACACGGACCAGACUCCUACGGGAGGCAGCAGUGAGGAAUAUUGGUCAAUGGGCGAGAGCCUGAACCAGCCAAGUCGCGUGAAAGGAAGAAGGAUCUAUGGUUCGUAAACUUCUUUUGCAGGGGAAUAAAGUGCAGGACGUGUCCUGUUUUGUAUGUACCCUGAGAAUAAGGAUCGGCUAACUCCGUGCCAGCAGCGGC
rnacentral:rRNA from 1 species